GCCAACUCUUGAGUGAACUUGCUGCAUCGCUGGGACCUGUGGCUCAAGUGGGUUGUAUUCUCCCCCAAGGAAAUCAGCAGUUUUGAGGUUUAAGGAGGUGAGAGAUGAUUGUCAUUGCUACCAAAGAUGCCGGAGAACAUCUCACUGUGGAGCCAACCCUGAUGGAUGGCCAGAGCUGUCUGGAGAGCCUUACAAUGCUGAUUUUGACUCUCCUGGAUCUAAACUGCUGAUAACACUUAGACAUUUGGCACCAGAAUAUACAUUAUCUUAUCUAUUCCCCAUUGCACUUCCAUGUGGCAUUGAGAAGCCAUCAGACAUCAUGUACUGGUCCCAGAGGGGAGAAAACAGGAAAUGAAUCUAGUUGAAACUGCUCACUAUAAAGAAGGAAUUCAUGACUGUAAGUUCCAUGAGUGAAUGGCCAGCGAGAUUGGUGCUGUGCACACACACAUUCUAAAUACGGCUGUUCCUUGGUAUCUGUGGAGGAUUGGUUCCAGAAACUCCCACGGAUACAAAAAUCCACUGAUGCUCAAGUUCCUGACAUAAAAUGGGGACUAGUAAGGACACCGGUGGUGGGAGGGAGAAGUUUACACCAAGAUCAAAGAAAGGAGGCAGAGAUCGCUCAGAGAGGGAGCGGUCCCCUGUUGGAAGGAGCAAAGAAGAGGCGGCUCCCAACAGAGAAGAGCCAAGACAGAAGUCUUCAUGCAGGUUUCUUCAUGCACAGCGAACUGUAACCUAACUGGAUGUGUAAACAGACUGCAGCCUACUCUUGCACCAAUCACAGAGCUUCUGCCACACACACGAGGCCAACUGUUCAAACUGUUCAAAGAAGGCAAACACUGAGCUGUAACCAAUCCGGCGCUUUUCUGUAUGUCACUUUCCUUUUUCUGUCCAUAAAUGUCAUCUGACCAUGUGGCAGCCCCCAAGUCAUUCUGAACAUAUAUAUUCUGGUUCUGGGAGUUACCCAAUUCACAAAUCAUUCUUUGCUCAAUUAAAAUCAGUUGAAUUUAAUUUGUCUGAA